CUUGCUAGAACUUAGAGACAGGUGCUGCACGGCUGUCGUCAGCUCGUGUCGUGAGAUGUUGGGUUAAGUCCCGCAACGAGCGCAACCCACGUAUUUAGUUGCUAACGGUUCGGCCGAGCACUCUAAAUAGACUGCCUUCGUAAGGAGGAGGAAGGUGUGGACGACGUCAAGUCAUCAUGGCCCUUAUGCCCAGGGCGACACACGUGCUACAAUGGCAUAUACAAUGAGACGCAAUACCGCGAGGUGGAGCAAAUCUAUAAAAUAUGUCCCAGUUCGGAUUGUUCUCUGCAACUCGAGAGCAUGAAGCCGGAAUCGCUAGUAAUCGUAGAUCAGCCAUGCUACGGUGAAUACGUUCCCGGGUCUUGUACUCACCGCCCGUCACACCAUGGGAGUUGAUUUCACUCGAAGCCGGAAUACUAAACUAGUUACCGUCCACAGUGGAAUCAGCGACUGGGGUGAAGUCGUAACAAGGUAACCGUAGGAGAACCUGCGGUUGGA
rnacentral:rRNA from 2 species